rnacentral:ncRNA from 1 species
CUUUUCAGGGCGGGGCGCAAUUCCCCACCGGCGGUUACAGUCCGCGAGCGUAAGCUGAACGGGUGAAAUUCCCGUACCGACGGUAUAGUCCGGAUGGAAGAGAG